rnacentral:rRNA from 1 species
GCCUUACACAUGACAAGUCGAACGGCAGCGGUACGUUGGGUCGCCGGCGAGUGGACGAACGGGUGAGUAAUAUAGUACGGAACGUACCUUUCAGGUGGGGGAUAACGUAGCGAAAGUUACGCUAAUACCGCAUAUUCUGUGAGCAGGAAAGCAGGGGAUCGCAAGACCUUGCGCUGAUUGAGCGGCCGAUAUCAGAUUAGCUAGUUGGUGAGGUAAAGGCUCACCAAGGCGACGAUCUGUAGCGGGUCUGAGAGGAUGAUCCGCCACACUGGAACUGAGACACGGUCCAGACUCCUACGGGAGGCAGCAGUGGGGAAUUUUGGACAAUGGGCGCAAGCCUGAUCCAGCCAUGCCGCGUGAGUGAAGAAGGCCUGCGGGUUGUAAAGCACUUUAGUUAGGGAGGAGUGUUUGAAGGUUAAGAGCUAUCAAGCAGGACGUUACCUAAAGAAUAAGCACCGGCUAACUCCGUG